AGAUGGAUGACAUUUACCAAAACAUCUCUCACUAUGCUGGUGUGGAGAUCAAGAAGCUUUCAAAUGGCAGUGUACUGGUGGACUAUGAUGUGAUCCUGUCAACAAGUUUCACCCCAGAUUACAAGACAGAAUUGCAAGCUAUCGCAAAGAAGGUAGAGGAAACAAUUAAAACAGUAACCAAAGAGCAAGCAGACACAGGAUGCACAAAAGAUUUAUGUUUGAACCCCAACAAGACAUCAGUGGAUGAGCCUACAUUUUCUUAUGACCCUCUG